GACGAACGCUGGCGGCGUGCUUAACACAUGCAAGUCGAGCGGUAAGGCCCCUUCGGGGGUACACGAGCGGCGAACGGGUGAGUAACACGUGGGUGACCUGCCCUCAGCUCUGGGAUAAGCCUGGGAAACUGGGUCUAAUACCGGAUAUGACUCCAUGACGCAUGUCGUGGGGUGGAAAGCCUUGUGCGGCUGGGGAUGGGCCCGCGGCCUAUCAGCUUGUUGGUGGGGUGAUGGCCUACCAAGGCGACGACGGGUAGCCGGCCUGAGAGGGCGACCGGCCACACUGGGACUGAGACACGGCCCCAGACUCCUACGGGAGGCAGCAGUGGGGAAUCUUGCGCAAUGGGCGAAAGCCUGACGCAGCGACGCCGCGUGAGGGAUGACGGCC
rnacentral:rRNA from 1 species